rnacentral:rRNA from 1 species
AUUAUCAGCCAUAUCACCCUGCAGCCCAAGACCGGUUACUCACUAAAGCUAAGCAGGGCUGAGCCUGGUUAGUACCUGGAUGGGAGACCACUAGGGAACACUAGGUUGCUGUUGGAA